AACGUAGGACGCAAGCGUUAUCCGGAGUUACUGGGCGUAAAGCGCGGGCAGGCGGUCUUCCCAGUCUGAUGUGAAAGCGCUCGGCUCAACCGAGCGAUGCCAUUGGAAACUAGAAGACUGGAGUCUGACAGAGGUAGGCGGAAUUCCGGGUGGAGUGGUGAAAUGCGUAGAGAUCCGGAGGAACACCAGUGGCGAAAGCGGCCACCUGGACUGCACCUGACGCUGACACGCGAAAGCUAGGGGAGCGAACGGG
rnacentral:rRNA from 1 species